rnacentral:misc_RNA from 1 species
CGCUGCGGUCAGUCGAUAAUGUGGCGGGAACGUCGCGGAUUUAAACGACGAAAGCGCCGCGCGCCUCCCAGGAUCCCGCGGACGGUUUUCGCGAUUCGAUUGGACGAUUAACGGCAAUUGAGAACUGCGCGACUAUUCCGAUCAAUUCCGUUGAAGCGUAGCCGAAGAUGCUGCCGAAGAUGGACCGCGUCUAAUGCCGUGGGUGCCAGGAGAGUCGAACCAGUGGCAACCAACUGCAAUCGAUGACGGAGCGGAGUGUUCGCUGCAGUAAAUUGAUCUCCCGAAUCUAUGCAAGAAAUACGCAAGAAGAGGCAACCCUCGAGAGGGAGGAAGAGGAGGAGAGACGGAAGGAGUGAGGGUGACAAAAGCAGAUGGGAGGAUAGAGAGCGCAGGAGGAUCGUACUGGUGCAGGAGUUGAGAUGUCUGCAUGACGAAAUCAACAACCUGUAGAUACCAACUCCGGCUGCCGCUAUCACGAUAGCAAUAAGAAAAAGCUCUGUUUAAUUAUUUCACGUAAUGGCUCGUGCCUCUACCAACGUGGAAAGGAACACAUUGCAAUGAAGCAGUCGGCUUUUCGAUUAUAAGUCUUUGGUCGCUUUUCAAAGCAAGAAAAAUGUGAUUUACACACCACCUCUCCGUU